rnacentral:rRNA from 1 species
AGUAACGCGUGAGGAACCUGCCUUCCAGAGGGGGACAACAGUUGGAAACGACUGCUAAUACCGCAUGAUGCAUUGAAGUCGCAUGGCUUUGAUGUCAAAGAUUUAUCGCUGGAAGAUGGCCUCGCGUCUGAUUAGCUAGUUGGUGAGGUAACGGCCCACCAAGGCGACGAUCAGUAGCCGGACUGAGAGGUUGGCCGGCCACAUUGGGACUGAGACACGGCCCAAACUCCUACGGGAGGCAGCAG